ACUGCAUUAAAGGGUCACAGCAUUAGGAAGGUUGAGAGCCACUGUUUAGGAUAUGCAUAGGUCACCAAUCCUUCACCAACACCUCCUUUCCCUGCCACGCUCUCCCCAGGGGGUUCAACCACAUCCUUUCCAGAGCUCUUUAAAACUUCAGAGCUCCACCUUCCUAGCUGUAUAGUGGGUGACUGAUAGGCCAGUGGGCAGCAACUGCAGCCUGAGCAAGAAGCUUGCUGCCUUGUCUGGCUGCCUCAACCUAGUCCCUGACACAUGGAAAGGGCUUGCAAAAUAUUUGUGAGGAUAAAUGAACACGUGCGGCCCCUCAGCUGAGAAAUAGUUUAAAUCUCUGUGCCAGACCACAGUGUCUGUGCGAUUUUUAAAAAUGUGGCUGGAAUCGGUGCUAUAAAAUACUAUCAUCUGCCAGAUUUUGGCAGCUCCCCGCCGGAGGCUAAAUAACAACUCAGCACAACGCUGACUUCCAAAUCACCAUUCUGGGACAGUCUCAGCUCCUCUUAGGCCCCUACCGGGGAAGACACUUGGCCUGGAGAGCAGUAUGGCGGCAGGGUUCCAGGACCAACGGUGCCUUAGCUGUGGCCUAGGUAAUCAGCACCCUAAUUCUCCAAUAGGCCGUUCACUGGAAGCCCUGCUGCUUGCCCAGGCUGUCUGCCCACUCUGAGCACAGAGACUCAUCGCUGGCCUCUGGCCCCUCUAUCGGUUUGCUGUCAGCCUCCCCAUUGAUUUUAAAUUUUAUUAUUGGCUUGUGGAAUGCUCAAGGGCCUGAAGCGUUCCCUCACCAUCGAUUCUCUGUUCUCAGCGAAGGGAGGCAGAGCUUCGCCAUCUUCAUCCUUGGCUGCUGACCAGUCCCUCUGUCUUGUAUCUGGAGAUCCUCAGCCUGCUGGAGGCUGAGUCUGGAGGGCUGGGCUCAUUUCCUCGGGCACCUGUGAUGCUGAGACACCGGUCCAAGCCAUGCUGAAGAUUUUGUGUACUUGCCAGAACCAAGGAACAAGGGUACACACUUUGUGCCAGUGACCAGCUAACCACUUGACUUUUUUCCCCUAUAAAGCCAUCUGGGAUUCUCAGGAAGUGGGUAAUUGAUCAGCAGUCUACAAACAGAAAACCCGAGACUCAGACAUAGCAGCCCAGUGACUGUCGAGGCAAAGGUGUCCUCCAAGGCCUUCUGCUGGAGGGGGGAUGGGCUAGCCCCAGGCUCUGUAACGAGGAGAGAGGAGAAACAGCAACACAGCCUGAGAGAGCAAAUACAUGGCUACACAGGCCAUCUCUGCUGGAUGCCGUAAGCACCCCUUUCGAUGAUGUUGUGCCAGUUCUCUGCUGUUUCCUUCUGUCCACUACUUGCUAUUCGUUCUUUUACUUUUGUUUCUUAACAUGCUUAAGAAACCCACUCAUUUGAAACAAAGUACAUCCAUCAGAGAUCACACACCAAGUAGAACACCUUGUGUGGUCUUAUUCAAUGGCUGCUGGAGCAGCUGUGUAGCCACUAAGGGAUUGUCUGUGCAACCCCUAAGGGCAUUUUGGCUGUGGAAUCCUGGCUUUCCCCCCUACCAUAUUGUCCAUACUUACUUUUGUACCUGUCUUAUAAGGGUGAGGGUGUGUUUGUCAGCUCACAGCCUUCCGAACCUUAACCACAAAGGAGAUGUCUGUCCAAACCCAUGACUUUCCAGAAUAGAUGAACUCACUUGCUCCCGAGUUUCAAGUCCCAUCAGCACAGGAGACCUUUUUGAAAUCUUCUGCUUUCUGAUCUGCUUCUGCACCCUUCCCCUUCCUCCCUCCCCUCUUCCCUCUCCUUUCUUUCUCUCCCUCUUCUCUUCCCUUCUCUCUCCCUGUCUUCUCUCCCUCUGUGCUUUCCUUCCUGUUAUGUAGUAGACCACGUUUGUUCAUGUAUCCAUUCAAGUUGGCACCUCGGGGCAGAGAGGAAGCAGAUACUCCCAGGCGUGAUAAAUCCUGUGUCUGGGAAUCUGGGUGGGUUGUAGCAGCCUGGAGCUAGAUCUAGAGCCAGCACUAUGGAGGGGUGGGCUUUUCUCAUGCCAGACUGGGAUACUGCUAAUACCACUCCCCACCCUCAAGAGGUUUAGGAGCAUUUUGGAGGAGGAUUUGGGGGAAGCCCAUUUACAGGGAGCAGCAAUUGAAGGGAGAUUGGCAUUCCCCUCGGCAGGAAGCAUGUAUGAGCACAUUUAAUUCAUAGAGCCAUCUGUAGAUUUUGUGCUAAGGUUGGAUUUUCCUAGUCUAUGUCAACUCUCCAUGUAGCUCCUGGAGUUCUGAAGCACGGCCUAAGUAUACGUUGCUCAGGCAGACAUGGUAAGAUGGGCCAGGCCCACAUAUGUGGAAAAUGUCAUGGCCUCCUCACUCACCACUGUCCCUUACUAGAAAGUAAUUUAAUGGACUGGGGGUUACUCAAGCUCCUAGUCCACCCCAUCUACUCUAAAAACAGUGGCAGGCACCACACUAAGGCCACCUGUGACUGUAAUUCUCACUUCCCUCAUCAGAGGUUUAUGCAGCUUUCUGAGUAUCAAGGACAACAUGUAGCAUAUCCAGUGUUAACUGAAGGGCCAAGCCUUCUCCUGCCCUCACACCCAGGAAUCAAAGACAGUCUGACCUCAAGCCCUUACUAUGGGCUUCUCAUAAACCACGUGAGAUUGCCACUAGGUCUCUAAUCCCUGACAAGUCUCACUUGGUGCUCUUUCCAGAACUCCUCACCUCACCCCUUACUCUAGACCCCUCCCGCCCAAGGGCUGGGCUUCUACUUCUCUUCUCCCAAACUCAUCCCUAUAACUUAGCCACAGUGGCUAGCUCUCCUGGUCUCUUGGCCUCCUGGCCUGGGCCAGGCAGCCCCUCUCUUGUCUCCGCUAUCCCUCAUACUCUCCUACCCUUACCCCCAUCUCUCCUCUCAAAGGGCAAUUUAGCCUACAGCCUGUGCUCAGCUGGUACUCUUCCCUCUGCCCUCUUUCUCCCUUACAUCUUCAGUAAAAAUCUUCUCCACACUUUAGGAGUAGCCAUGUCCUCCUUUAUUUCAUUGUUUUCUUUCCAUUGUGACCCCCAGAAGACCUAUACAAGUGGGCCUCCACUGUGCCUCAUGGGUCUCAACUCUCUUCAGGACUCUGUCAUGUUGUCAACUUAUGGUAUUAAUAAAUCUCUUAUCCAAUAGG
rnacentral:sRNA from 1 species